rnacentral:rRNA from 1 species
AUGAUCACGGGCACGGACUUCUACCACGUGAUGACGGCGGUGGUGCCGCUGUACGUGGCCAUGAUCCUCGCCUACGGCUCCGUCAAGUGGUGGGGCAUCUUCACGCCGGACCAGUGCUCCGGGAUCAACCGCUUCGUCGCGCUCUUCGCCGUCCCCCUCCUCUCCUUCCACUUCAUCUCCACCAACAACCCCUACACCAUGAACCUGCGCUUCAUCGCCGCCGACACGCUGCAGAAGCUCAUGAUGCUCGCCAUGCUCACCGCCUGGAGCCACCUCUCCCGCCGCGGCAGCCUCGAGUGGACCAUCACCCUCUUCUCCCUCUCCACGCUCCCCAACACGCUCGUCAUGGGCAUCCCGCUGCUCAAGGGCAUGUACGGCGACUUCUCCGGCAGCCUCAUGGUGCAGAUCGUCGUGCUCCAGUGCAUCAUCUGGUACACCCUCAUGCUCUUCAUGUUCGAGUACCGCGGCGCCCGCAUGCUCAUCACCGAGCAGUUCCCCGACACCGCCGGCGCCAUCGCCUCCAUCGUCGUCGACCCGGACGUCGUCUCGCUCGACGGCCGCAGCAACGCAAUCGAGACCGAGGCCGAGGUCAAGGAGGACGGCAAGAUUCACGUCACCGUCCGCCGCUCCAGCGCCUCCCGCUCCGACAUCUACUCCAGGCGCUCCAUGGGCUUCUCCAGCACCACGCCGCGCCCCAGCAACCUCACCAACGCCGAGAUCUACUCGCUGCAGUCGUCGCGGAACCCCACGCCCAGGGGCUCCAGCUUCAACCACACCGACUUCUACUCCAUGGUCGGCCGGAGCUCCAACUUCGGCGCCGCCGACGCGUACGGCAUCCGCACCGGCGCCACGCCGCGCCCGUCCAACUACGAGGAGGACGCGCCCAAGCCCAAGCAUCCGGCGCCCGGGGCGGGGCACUACCCCGCGCCGAACCCGGCGGUGGCCGCGGCGCCCAAGGGACCAAAGAAGCCGGCCACGAACGGACAGGCCAAGGGCGAGGACCUCCACAUGUUCGUCUGGAGCUCCAGCGCGUCGCCGGUGUCGGACGUCUUCGGCGGCGGCGCGCCGGACUACAACGACGCGGCGGCCGCCAAGUCCCCCCGCAAAAUGGAUGGAGCCAAGGAGAGGGAGGACUACAACGUGGAGCGAGACGACUUCAGCUUCGGGAACAGGGGCGCGCUGGACCGGGACACGGAGGCCGGCGACGAGAAGGCCAUGACGGCGGACCCGAACAAUGCGAUGAGCGCGGGGCAGACGGCGAUGCCGCCGACGAGCGUGAUGACGCGGCUGAUCCUGAUCAUGGUGUGGCGCAAGCUCAUCCGCAACCCCAACACCUACUCCAGCCUCAUCGGCCUCAUCUGGUCGCUCGUCUGCUUCAGGUCCGUGGAACUUCACGAUGCCGGCAAUCGUCCUGGGAUCCAUCUCCAUCCUGUCGGAUGCGGGGCUAGGAAUGGCCAUGUUCAGCCUCGGUCUGUUCAUGGCGCUGCAGCCGCGGAUCAUCGCGUGCGGGAACAAGGUGGCGACGUACGCCAUGGCGGUGCGGUUCCUCGCCGGGCCGGCCGUCAUGACCGCCGCCUCCUUCGCCGUGGGCCUCCGCGGCACGCUCCUGCACGUCGCCAUCGUCCAGGCCGCGCUGCCGCAGGGCAUUGUCCCCUUCGUCUUCGCCAAGGAGUACAGUGUGCACCCCGACAUCCUCAGCACAGCGGUCAUAUUCGGCAUGCUCAUCGCCCUGCCCAUCACGCUCGUCUACUACAUCCUGCUCGGCCUGUGAGCGAGCGCCACAUGUAA